rnacentral:rRNA from 1 species
GACGAACGCUGGCGGCGUGCUUAACACAUGCAAGUCGAACGGAAAGGCCCUGCUUUUGUGGGGUGCUCGAGUGGCGAACGGGUGAGUAACACGUGAGUAACCUGCCCUUGACUUUGGGAUAACUUCAGGAAACUGGGGCUAAUACCGGAUAGGAGCUCCUGCUGCAUGGUGGGGGUUGGAAAGUUUCGGCGGUUGGGGAUGGACUCGCGGCUUAUCAGCUUGUUGGUGGGGUAGUGGCUUACCAAGGCUUUGAAGGGUAGCCGGCCCGAGAGGGUGACCGGCCACAUUGGGACUGAGAUACGGCCCAGACUCCUACGGGAGGCAGCAGUGGGGAAUAUUGCACAAUGGGCGGAAGCCUGAUGCAGCAACGCCGCGUGCGGGAUGACGGCCUUCGGGUUGUAAACCGCUUUCGCCUGUGACGAAGCGUGAGUGACGGUAAUGGGUAAAGAAGCACCGGCUAACUACGUG